rnacentral:tRNA from 1 species
UUUUACAUAUUUUAAAUUAGAAUUUAAUAUUGAAGAUAUUAAGGUGGAAUUAUUUCUGUAAAU